rnacentral:rRNA from 1 species
UACGGGGGGGGCAAGCGUUGUUCGGAAUUACUGGGCGUAAAGGGCGCGUAGGCGGCUUUUCAAGUCGGGCGUGAAAUCUCCGGGCUUAACCCGGAAGGGUCGUUCGAUACUGUUGAGCUAGAGUGUGGAAGAGGCAACUAGAAUUCCGUGUGUAGCGGUGAAAUGCGUAGAUAUACGGAGGAAUACCUGAGGCGAAGGCAGCUCUCUGGGUCCCUACCGACGCUGGAGUGCGAAAGCAUGGGGAGCGAACGGG